rnacentral:rRNA from 1 species
AUUGAACGCUGGCGGCAGGCCUAACACAUGCAAGUCGAGCGGAUGAAGGGAGCUUGCUCCUGGAUUCAGCGGCGGACGGGUGAGUAAUGCCUAGGAAUCUGCCUGGUAGUGGGGGAUAACGUCCGGAAACGGGCGCUAAUACCGCAUACGUCCUGAGGGAGAAAGUGGGGGAUCUUCGGACCUCACGCUAUCAGAUGAGCCUAGGUCGGAUUAGCUAGUUGGUGGGGUAAAGGCCUACCAAGGCGACGAUCCGUAACUGGUCUGAGAGGAUGAUCAGUCACACUGGAACUGAGACACGGUCCAGACUCCUACGGGAGGCAGCAGUGGGGAAUAUUGGACAAUGGGCCAAAGCCUGAUCCAGCCAUGCCGCGUGUGUGAAGAAGGUCUUCGGACUGUAAAGCACUUUAAGUUGGGAGGAAGGGCAGUAAGUUAAUACCUUGCUGUUUUGACGUUACCAACAGAAUAAGCACCGGCUAACUUCGUG